CCCUGGUUAGCUCAGUUGGUAGAGCACUGCACCUGUAAUGGAGAGGUCUCGGGUUCGAUACCCGGACCAGGCG
rfam:Ixodes scapularis strain Wikel colony gcontig_1108378384048, whole genome shotgun sequence.